UACGGAGGGUGCGAGCGUUGUCCGGAAUCACUGGGCGUAAAGGGCGCGUAGGUGGCGCGGGCAGUCAACGGUGAAAGUUCGGGGCUCAACCCUGAAUCGGCCGUCGAUACUCCCGAGCUGGAGCACUGUAGAGGCUCAUGGAAUUCCGGGUGUAGCGGUGGAAUGCGUAGAGAUCCGGAAGAACACCGGUGGCGAGGCGGUGAGCUGGGCAGUUGCUGGACACUGAGGCGCGACGAGCGUGGGGAGCAAACAGGGAUUAGAUACCC
rnacentral:rRNA from 1 species